AUGCUCGGCCUGAGAUAGAAAACCCUUUCAUCAAAUGCACUUAGAGCUUAUCUAGAGAAAGCAUAAUGACUUGAGAAGCUGCUCGGCUCAGCUCUGACUGCAGCCUGAGGACCAACAGAGCACCUUCUGCCACCUUCCAGAAUGUGGAAGAGUACCUGGAUCAGAAGAGCAAGUGCCUCUACUGAUUUCCACAGCACUUUUCCUCUUGGAUUGUAAAUUCUUCAAGACAGAGACAAUCUCUUGGGAUUUGUUUAUACAGAGUUUAUACAUCAGUCCCAGGGAUUACUGCAAGGAGAAUAAUCUUUAAUGACUACAAAUCCUGCGACCCCUGUUUUAGAAAUCCUCUAAUGUGUGUCAAAUAGAUGUUCAAAGAGAGGCUCCAAACGAAUUACAAUGUCUAAGAUACCACAACAGUUCACCACGCCAGUUGCUGUCCAUUAAAUCCAGCUAGGAAUCAAAUCCCUGCAUUCUUGGCUGUAACUUAUUCUCUCAAGCAGACUGGCAAAUGAGUUUCAGUGUGGCUAGGAGCACUGUGCCUUUCCUCCCACAGGCUCACACUUGACAGAGAAUUAAGAGAAGUCACUUCUCUUUUUGCUGCAUUAAAAUUAAUCCGACAAAAACCUAACA